rnacentral:lncRNA from 1 species
UCUACUGGGGUGAACCGUAUAAGGUGAGUAAUGAGUCUCUCUCAAAAUCUCCCAUCGGAUCUCUAAAUCCAUAGGUACACACAGCCGGUCCCUGUACCGCAAUACUCCCGAACUGUCCACUGAAAAGGCCUUCGCCUGUCCCCUCCAACUACUCUCGAAUCCUCAACAAAUGAGAGUCUCCACUCUACUUCUCCCUGAUCCUAUCC